AGUAUGCAUUACAAAUCUCAACUUCUUCUAUAUAUGUUUUAUAUGCAUUACAAAGUGACAUCGUUUUACUACAAGGUUUUAGCAAUAGGUUCCUCUUUUCUUUUGUUUUUGUCAAUUUGUGUCACUAAUCGUAAUUGAUGAUAGAAACUGGAUCAUGACGGGUAGAAUUAUGUCGCUGAUGAAAUUUUUAGCACAAAGUACAUGUAAGCUCUUUUUUUAAAGGUGGGGAUGUUGGUGCUGUUAGACUUGCAAGUAAAUUUCCCUCUAUCCUUUGUGGAUUCCUCCUAUUAUUCUUAUCCAUAAGCACAACAUUUAUUUUAAUGCAGAAUAAUGAGCAAAUUAUUUUGUUUUGCAGCUAGAAUAAAAACUGCAGAAAAUGCAGAAUAAGCUAGAGAGUCUAAUAUGGGAUCAGAAGGAACUUCAAGAACGUUUCCAAAUGGUUGUUAAAGAACACAAAAUGAUGGAGUUGCUACUAACGGAGCUUGAAGAGGAGCAUGAUAUGGCCAUUGCAAAAAUUGAAAAAUUACAGACAAAGGUAAAUUAUUUUGUAUUCGUGUGCAUACCUUGUACUAUCUUCUUAUAUAUCUAUUGAACUAUUAACAUGAUCUGAAUGUUGGAAGUUAUCACUUGCUUCAUGCCACCUGUGAAAAGUCUUCUAGUGUUGAGGUCACGUAUGAUAUUUUGCUGCAAGAAGGACGGCUUGUUAAAUUCCCUACUUCAUUUACUUGUACUUGUGCACUAAUUUCAGGUAGUUGUACAUCCACAUUGGUGAUUAUGGACAAAGACCAGGUAACCUUACUCUCUUGACUCUUCAUCUUGUAUUAAGUUUACAUUAAUUUAUAGACUAGCUUCUGGUUGACAUUAUAGGUUGCCAAACUGAUAAACAAUGAACAAUAUGUUUAGUAGAAAUUAUAAUCAGAACUACUGUCUUUUUCUUGCCAGAAAUUGAAGUCAGUAUUCACAAGUAUUAUUCGUCUGGUGGACUUGGGGAAUUAAUAAGGAGAAAUCCAAGAUCAACCAAUCUCUUCCAAAAGCAAUAUGAUUUAUUAGUAGAAACUGUUACCCAUAUUUCUGUCAUUUUUCUGAAGUUGGCAUCAGCUCCAUGGGAUUGAAAACUUGUCCUGAAACUUGCUGAAGAUGCCAUGCGUUCAAGAUAUGACCAAAGAUUAUGAAAAAUAGAUGUUGGGUAACAUUUUCUUGAAUAUGCUAAAAUUAUUUGUUUUUGUUUGUUUCCUACCGAUUCUGGUUACCUUUACUAUCAUUGUUUUGCCCAGUUUUCUGCUUGCUUUGUCAGGUAGAAUUUAAGUUUCUGUAAUUGCUUCCAUGUACAGGAAGGUUUUCUUGAUAUUGUGCUUUUUUUCUUAGCACACAAGAAUUGAGUUAUGGAAUGUGAUGGUAAUGGUAUGUUUCUUGAAAUUAUUCCAUGUUUCUCUUCAUCCAUCACGUUCAUCUUCUUUCUAUUUAAUACUCCAUUUUGUUGAUAAAUGAUAAUAGUCCAUUUUGAACAGAUGUUUACAUCGAAGAAAGAAGAUGCCAAAAUCGAAAAAGUAAUUCGACUUCCUGCAAAUUGAAGAUGCAUCAACUGCAAUGUCUUGGUAACAUUUUCUGUAUUCAUGAACCUCAACUUACCCUAGAAUUUGUGAAAUAUAGAUAAUUUUGUUUAAAUUGAAUCAGGGACUACAAUAUGUGUGUACAACUUUCAACACCUUUGUCUGCAUAAAUUGCAGUGGAAUACAGUAUGCAUUACAAAUCUCAACUUCUUCUAUAUAUGUUUUAUAUGCAUUACAAAGUGACAUCGUUUUACUACAAGGUUUUAGCAAUAGGUUCCUCUUUUCUUUUGUUUUUGUCAAUUUGUGUCACUAAUCGUAAUUGAUGAUAGUUACAUCAUCACGUGUUUUUCCUUCUAAUUUCUCUCAAUUUUUUAUCUCAUCCAAGAAACCUGUCUCUCUUUUCUCUCAGUUCUCUAUCUACUGCAUGAAAUCCUAAAAUCAUGAUGCAAUUUCUUACUCUGUGAUGGUAAAGAAACAUAUUAUGCCAUGUUGCUUAAGCUAAUAAUGAAACAUGAAAUAGAGAAUGAAAGAGAGAGGUUUUUGUAGUGUUUCCAAUCCUUUUCUCUCUCAAUUUUCAUUAUUCUGCAUGAAUUCCUAAAAUUCUCGAGGCAAAUUCUCAUUAUCUGAUAAUGACGUGAUAUUCUUGAAUUUCAGCUGAUAACGAAAUGCGAGAAAGAGAUAGAUUUUGAAUUAUUCAUGCCUUACAGAUAAGCAAUGCUGCUGAGAUCUGUUCAUAAGAGUUAUGAUGUAUAAAUUUUAAUUAGCAAUACUUUUUAACUACAAUUUUCUUCAUAUUUAUCGUGAUACUUAAUGUCUUGUACUCUUUUUUAACACAUCUAUUCUCUUGUUGUUCAGGAUACCCACUUGAUAAUGUUAGGCAUUUGAUAAAGGAUUGAGAUUGGCCACUGACAAUUACAAUAUGAGCAAUAAGAUUGGGCGAGAAGGUUUUGGAACUGUUUUCCGGGUACACCUCACAGUUCUUGUAUAAGUUGUAAACUUUUGGGAUUAAUAUGUAUGUUAGCCAGUUGAACUUGCCAAAAUGAUUCUUUAGAGGAGUUUAUGAUAGUAGACCGACUAAUAUUUGUUACUUUUAUUUUUCUUCCUAUCUUUCUGUGAUUCUGAGUUAAGAUUGUUCAGAGUUUUGGGUGAUGUUUUUCUGAUUUAGGUGCAGGGAAUGCUUCAAUUGUAUGAGAUAAAUUCUAAAAUGAAAAUUUGUUCAUCUCCACUUUAUACCCCCUCCCCACACCAGGUCAUAUUCCUUUGGGACAACAUAAAAGUUGGUGGGCUAUAAAAGUUGAAAUGACAAUGCUAGGCAAAGCAGGGACACCCACCCCACUUGUUACACCAACUUUUCUAUUCUUCUUUUGCAUAUCACUAACUUCUUUAGCAUAAAGUUGAGCAAAAAUUAAAAAAAGUGAUCCCUUUGAUUUCUCUGCUAUGUUAAUAUCUUUUGCAACUAAAGACAAUAUCAUUGGAUGAUAAUAUUGCGAUUUUCUUGAACUUCAGCUGAUAAUGAUGUGGUUUUCUUGAACCUGAACAGAUAAUAUUGCGAUUUUCUUAAACCUCAACUGAUAAUGAUGUGAUUUUCUUGAACUUCUGGUGGCAUGAUGUGAUUUUCUUGAACUUCUGUUGAUAAUGAUGUGAUUUUCUUGAACUUCAGCUGAUAAUAUUGCAAUUUUCUUAAACCUCAACUGAUAGGAUGAGUAUUGCAUGCAAGAUGAAUGGUUGUGAGGAUGAAUCUUGAUGCUAUGUUAGACUCUAGUUGCUUAUAAUUUUGAAUUCAGAUGGACCCUGAUUUUAAAAAUUACCUGAAGUGCAAUUACAAUUUAAAUCCUCAAUUCAUAGUGUAAAAUUGGGAUAUACUUGAGUCAUUGGUGGCCUUCGAUGCAAUUGGAGUUUGAAUUCUUGGUUCAUAAUAUGAAUUGGGAUGCUGUGCUUGGGAGAUCAACCAUCCUAUAAUAUAGCUGCUGAGUGCUGAAUGUACCGGUAUCAUUGUUACUUGUACUUGUGCGCUAAUUUCAGGUAGUUGUACAUCACAUUGGUGAAAUUUCUGGAAGUCCAUGGACAUACAUGUCCUAUGCUUUUAUGAUUGUCCAAAGACUGCUUUGAUGUAUGAUAUGCUAUGAUACUCAAGAACUUUUUGGAGACCCUUUUGGAGAAGUCGCCAAGACCAUGUUGGAAUAUGUAUUAUUCCAGCAAAAUGUGGUUAUAUUUUUUGUUUUUUUCCUGUAAUUUUUUUCUGGCUUUAUAAGCUAUGACUGUAUUUUUGUCUUGUGGAUUCUUUUGAUAUUUUCUAUCAAUUUCAGUAAAAAUUGCAUGGUAAUAUUUCUUCAGUAACAUUCCACUGACAUGCUAUGAUGCUCAGGACUGUUCCUUAUUUAAGAAUUAUUUUGUCAAGAGAACCAUUUUUAUGUGCACUGAUAUUACUAGCAUGUGAAAAUUUGCAAUAUUUUACUAAUUGCCAUUUGUAAUCCCAAAACAGGCAAAGGGCAUGUUAAAAUUUCCAACGAUCACAAUAUGGAACUGCAUCUUUUCAUAUAAGGGUUGGUGGACCUGUGAUGUUUGGAAAGUCUUCAUCUUUACGUUUAAUUUUGUUAGACAAUGGCAUGUUCAAGGAGAAACACCAACAGUUUCUCUCUACUCUCAAAACAGAGUCACACCCUUAUGUGUUCCAAUAACAAUGUGACUCCUCUUGCUGAUGCUCCUCAUCGUUUCAAUGCUGUGAUGUGGAUUUCUAAGGUUUCAGUGAUCUAUGGUUUCACUGCUUUGACCACUGAUCUUGCUGUUAACUACUUUGAUAGGUUUAUCACCAGCCUAAGGUUUCAAAUGGAUAAGCCAUGGAUCACUCUCUCACUGCUGUUGCUGGUUUAUCUCUUGCUGCCAAAAUGGAAGAGACCCAUGUUCCACUUCUUUUAGGCCUACAAGUAUGUUCUUUUAAUUAAAGGUUUUGGCAGUGGUUGAUCCAUGGAUAUGACAGGAUGGAAUGAAUCAAAAUGUUCUAUUUUGUAGUCCUUUGUCUUGUUUUGAUUAUAUGUUCGAAAGCAUCAAACAUAAAAUGAAACUCAUAUUCUACAAGAUUUCGUCAUGUUAAACAUGUCUAUCAAACAUUAAUGAAGUGCAGGUGGCCUUCUAUGCAAUUUUAGUUUGAAUUCUUGGUUCGUAAUGUGAAUUGGGAUGCUGUGCUUGGAAGAUCAACCAUCCUAUAAUAUGGCUGCUGAGUGCUGAAUGUGCUGGUAUCAUUGUUACUUGUACUCGUUUUUUAAGGGUGGGGAUGUUGGUGCUGUUAGACUUGCAAGUAAAUUUCCCUCUAUCCUUUGUGGAUUCCUCCUAUUAUUGUUUUCCAUAAGCACAUCAUUAUUUUAAUGCAGAAUAAUGAGCAAAUUAUUUUGUUUUGCAGCUAGAACAAAAGCUGCAGAAAAUGCAGAAUAAGCUAGAGUGUAAUAUGGGAUCAGAAGGAACUUCAAGAACGUUUCCAAAUGGUUGUUAAAGAACACAAAAUGAUGGAGUCUCUAGUCACAGAGCUUGAAGAGGAGAUCAACU
rnacentral:lncRNA from 1 species